UGCUAUUCACAACCACACAUGCACUCUCAUGCACAGAACACAGACCUUCUAGGAUUCUCUGGACUCAGCCCUGGACUGUAGUUGUUCCUGGAUCUUCCCUGUGCUCUGCUUCCAGCCCACUGGCCAGCCCUGGCCCUUGCCCCUGUCCGACCCUGUACAGGGCUGGAAAAAGGAUGGAUAGUCUUCUACAGACAACACAAAGCACAGAUCAAAAGGGCAGGUACCUGUGUUUGUUAUUCUUCUGCCAGUCCCUUUGAACGUUUCCUGGGAUACUUUAAUCCACACUUGCCAUUUGGCUACCAAGAGUUUUGGGGUACCCAUCACAAAAGGAAAAAAAUCUACUUCUUAAAGAUCCAUAGCUCUUCAUCUUAUCAUUUCUUUACAUUGCUCUCUCUCUCUCUCUCUCUCUUCUUUUUUUUUUUAUUUUUUUUUUUGAGACGGGGUCUCACUAUGUAGCUGAGACUGACCUGGAACUCACUAUGUAGCUCAGGCUGGUCUUGAACUCACAGUGAUCUGAUCCUCCUGCCUCAGCCUCCCUAGUGCUGGGAUUACAGGUGUGUGCCACCACGCCUGGUUUAUAUUGCUCUUUUAAUCUUUGUGCUUCUUUGUUUGCUUGCUUUUUAAAGUUCACAAACUGCAUAAUCAGAAAAGAGGAAGCAAUCUCAGUGCGAGCCUUUUAGUGAUAGAAACUCGAGCUCAGGUAUUGUCAAAAUUACUUACAAUUUGUUUUCAAGUCCUGUCUGUUAGAUUUCCCUCGCCUUAGAUGGCUCUAACUGGUGAUGACACAAGCCCCGCCUAUGAUGUCACAAACUCCCCCAAUCCCGAGCCACUACUCGCUCAAUCCCGCCCCAGCUCCUGCAAGCCCCGCCCCAGUCCUAUAAGAAGCCUCCCUGUUUGAGCCAUGUUGCUCGCUGUCCUUUGUUCUGAGACAGCCCAGCAGCCCCUCCCCAUAAUAAAGGCUUGUUAUGGUUCUGAUCUGGUCCUGGUUUUUGGCUCUUUUUACCUCUCUGGUGCCAAAACCCAGGAGGAAGGCAGUCGAUUAAGCGACUGUCCCCGUGGGCUGGGGUCCAUUGGCCUUUCAGCCACCUCCUCCAGACCACAUCGGGGAGCCAGGACCUCCUCUGGGCUUCCUACCUCUGCCAAUACUGACGACUCACACCCACCGCGGUCACUUCCUUCAGGGUCUUCCAACAUAUUGUUUAUGGCAAUAACCUUUUGAUCCAGGUGUUCUCCCUUCUCUUCUGCUCCACCUACUCAGGAUUACAGGUACAUUUGUAGGCCCAUACGCUUUCCUUAGAUGAUAUCAAAAGAUAAUAACUUGAGUAAGAGUUUCCAUUUUUUUGUUUUUAUGUGUUUUUAGAGGGAAAUAAAUACAUUUAAUGAUAGCUAUUCUAUACUAAAAUACAUAUCUGUUUGUUGCAAAGAUAAUGUCACCAUGAUUGUCA
rnacentral:lncRNA from 1 species